rnacentral:lncRNA from 1 species
AAUCCAUGUGUUUGUUUUACAAGGCUUGACACUGAAAAAAACAGAAAAAUCAGUACCUGAUUGGGCAAAAGAGGAAGAAGGAUUAUUGGAUGAGUUAGGAAUAGAAGAAUUCAUCCGAAAUUGUGGUGAUUGAAAAAACUUGUGUAGAUGCUCUAAUUGUUCCUUAGUGAAUGGAGACCUUUCCAGAGAACUUUGGCCCUCAUAAUUUCCAUUAGUUGUUUGAAAAGCUCUGCUAUCCCCUGAUUGGAACCACGACUAUUGCCAUUCUUUUUCCUUCCAUUUGUCGGUUUCCCAUGGAGCUUCCAACACGUUUCACGAGUGUGCCAAUAUUUUUUGCAGUGAUCGCACCAAGGUUUUUUCUUUUUUUCACUAUCAUCAUUAUUUUUAAUAGUUACAAGAGCAGAAUUAUCAUCAUUAGCUUCAAACCCUGGCUUUAACAUUACUUUUCUCCUUGUCUCCUCUCUUCUAACCUCAGAAAAAAUCUCACGAAGUUUUGGAAGCGGUUUUUUCCCUAGGAUCCGAGAUCUCACUUCAUCAAAUUCUUUAUUUAAACCAGCCAGAAACAAAUAAGCUCUUUCAUUCUCUUCUUUUUUCAUAGCUUUUACACCAUCUCCGGGACACUCUCAUUCAUCAUUAUAACACU